GCCUAACGGCUGAACCAGCAACUUGCAGGAAUGAGAGUUAAUAUAAUAAGUUAUUAACUUGCUUGACUAGGUCUUAUAAAGUUCUGGAUAAAGCUUAUUAUGAAAACUUUAUAUCCAUAGGUCUCGACCAAAUCUUGUGCCAGCAGUCGCGGUAAGACAAGGGAGACGAGUGUUAUUCAUCUUUAACAGGUAUAUAGGGUACCUAGACGGUGUGCAAUGGCUUAAAUAAGUACCUGGUACACUUGAGUUUGAUAUGUGAGAGGAAUAUGUCGGAAUUGUUGGAGGAAAGAUGAAAUUUGUUAAUACCAAUAGGACUGAUAACGGCGAAGGCAAACCUCUAUGUACAUGUACUUGCGAUUUCUGUUUGUUUAUUUUUUUUUCAUUAGAAAAAAAAAAGAACCUAAAAAAAUUUUUAAAAAGAAAUUUUUCAUAUAAAAAGAUCCAUUUUAAUAAAGAGGGAAAUAGCAAUGUACUAUAACUGACGUUGAGGGACAAAGGCUCAAAGAGUGAAAAGGAUUAAAUACCCCCGUAACCUGGGCAGACAAUGAUGAGUGCCAUAGGUUGGCUUUAAGGCGGAACUAUAAAUGAAAGUGGAAGCACUCCACCUCAAGAGUAAUGUGGCAACGCAGGAACUGAAAUCUUUAAACCGUUUUUGAAACCAGUAGGGAAGU
rnacentral:rRNA from 1 species